GAUGAACGCUGGCGGCGUGCCUAACACAUGCAAGUCGAGCGAACAGACGAUGAGCUCGCGCUCCUGCCGUUAGCGACGGGCGGGUGAGUAACACGUGCAUCACCCUCCUCUUAGACUUGGAUAACUUCGGGAGACCGCAGCCACUACUAGCUAAUAUAUUGAACCGCAUGGUUCAAUAGUUAAUGCCGCCUUGGCCGACACUUUUAGCUGGAUCCGGGCUGGAUUAGCUAGUUGGUAAGGUAACGGCUUACCAAGGCAACGAUGCGUAGCCGACCUGAGAGGGUGAUCGGCCACACUGGAACUGAGACACGGUCCAGACUCCUACGGGAGGCAGCAGUGGGGAAUCUUGGGCAAUGGGCGGAAGCCUGACGGAGCAACGCCGCGUGGGUGAAGAAGGUCUUCGGGUCGUAAAACUCUGUUGUUGGGGAAGAACAGAUGUGUGAGUAACUAUGGAUGUUUUGACGGUACCUAAACAGAAAGCCACGGCUAACUACGUG
rnacentral:rRNA from 1 species